AUGUCGCGCGUCAAGGCCCUGCAGGUGGCGCAGACGUGCGUGUUGUCCACGAGGUGGAGGCACCUCUGGUGCGCCGUGUCGUGCCUCGACGUCGACGAGCAGGAGUUCGGCACCCACAACAACUUCGAGGACUUCACCACCAGCCUUCUAGGCAGCCAUGACAUCGCGUUUCUGGACGCCUUUCGGCUGCACGCAACUAAUCUCGGGUCGUACCAGCGUCGACACCUUACUCACCGCUGGGUCCGCCGCGCCAUGGGUCUAGAUGACACACGCCCUUGCCGGCUCAGAAGGCUGCAUCUUUCCGGCCUGAACUUGAACAUGGAAGAUAUUGCGAGUCACGUCAGCUCCCGCUGCCCUGCUCUGGAGGACUUGGAACUGGAAAACUGCAACUACUAUAUCACCUGCAAUAUCAACAUCGCCUCCUCCUCACUGAAGAAAUUGGUCGUCGAUAGUGUCUCCUUUGGUCAUGAUGAUAAUACUUUUGCGUUGGUUAUAGACACUCCUGCUCUUGUUUCUCUCUGCUUGGACGGGGAGUUUGAGCACAUUGUUGAUUAUAGAGAGCCACAUAGCAUGCCGUCUCUUGUCGAUGCAUCGAUUCAUCUGCCCGUGAUCGAGGACAUGAAGCCCUGGUACCAUUACGCUGAAUUCCUCACCCCAACUAUGCUCGAACUGAAUAUUAUUGGCGCGCUGUCUAAUGUGACAAGCUUGCAGUUGUCGCAGUUUGUGGUCAUGUUGCGUUUGUAUCCAGAUUGUGAGGAUCUUCCUGUAUACAACUUCAAGAACCUAAGAACCUUGUUCCUGGACGAGUGUCAUAUCAGCGACGACUUCCUCGGGCUGCAGCAAUACCUUCGGAACUCGCAUAACCUGCAGAAGCUCACUUUCUGCUGCUGCAAGGUCUCGAAUUUUGGACCUAGAGAGGAGUUGAUCCAACGCCGCCACUCAUAUUUUGAGGACCUAGCGGAUUUCAAGUGCGAGAACCUUAGGCUUAGUGAAAUCAUAUACCAAGAUGGUGAAGAUGAUGUCCACCUAUUGGUCAAGUUUUUGGAGGGCAUGAGGAAGAAUCUGUCAAACAACAAGAUAGAACUCACUAAAGUCGAUUAG
rnacentral:rRNA from 1 species